UUCUACGAAUGUACUAGAAAUACUGCUGAUGAAAGACCCCCGAAGGGAGCCCCCCACUCAAGUCUCGGGAAAGACGCGCACCCAGUAGGACACAGACACCG
rnacentral:pre_miRNA from 14 species